rnacentral:rRNA from 1 species
AUUGAACGCUGGCGGCAGGCCUAACACAUGCAAGUCGAGCGGAUGAAGGGAGCUUGCUCCUGGAUUCAGCGGCGGACGGGUGAGUAAUGCCUAGGAAUCUGCCUGGUCGUGGGGGAUAACGUCCGGACACGGGCGCUAAUACCGCAUACGUCCUGAGGGAGAAAGUGGGGGAUCUUCGGACCUCACGCUAUCAGAUGAGCCUAGGUCGGAUUAGCUAGUUGGUGGGGUAAAGUCCUACCAAGGCGACGAUCCGUAACUGGUCUGAGAGGAUGAUCAGCCACACUGGAACUGAGACACGGUCCAGACUCCUACGGGAGGCAGCAGUGGGGAAUAUUGGACAAUGGGCGAAAGCCUGAUCCAGCCAUGCCGCGUGUGUGAAGAGGGUCUUCGGAUUGUAAAGCACUUUAAGUUGGGAGGAAGAGCAGUAAGUUAAUACCUUGCUGUUUUGACGUUACCAACAGAAUAAGCACCGGCUAACUUCGUG